rnacentral:rRNA from 1 species
GACGAACGCUGGCGGCGUGCCUAAUACAUGCAAGUAGAACGCUGAAGGAGGAGCUUGCUUCUCUGGAUGAGUUGCGAACGGGUGAGUAACGCGUAGGUAACCUGCCUGGUAGCGGGGGAUAACUAUUGGAAACGAUAGCUAAUACCGCAUAAUGGUAGAUGUUGCAUGACAUUUGCUUAAAAGGUGCAAUUGCAUCACUACCAGAUGGACCUGCGUUGUAUUAGCUAGUUGGUGGGGUAACGGCUCACCAAGGCGACGAUACAUAGCCGACCUGAGAGGGGGAUCGGCCACACUGGGACUGAGACACGGCCCAGACUCCUACGGGAGGCAGCAGUAGGGAAUCUUCGGCAAUGGACGGAAGUCUGACCGAGCAACGCCGCGUGAGUGAAGAAGGUUUUCGGAUCGUAAAGCUCUGUUGUAAGAGAAGAACGAGUGUGAGAGUGGAAAGUUCACACUGUGACGGUAUCUUACCAGAAAGGGACGGCUAACUACGUG